GGGUAUAUAGCUCAGUGGUAGAGGGUGUGCUUUGCAUGCACCAGGUCCUGGGUUUAAUACCCAGUACUGCCA
rnacentral:tRNA from 1 species